GAAUCGUCCCGACAUAGGGGAUUACCUAGGAAAAAUGAUUGUAACAAAUGUUACGUUUACAUAAACAAAACGGAAAGACUACAUUUUGAAAGUCUGCAUACAAAUCUGCUCAGAAUCUAGCAUUUUCCAAAUCACUGUUCAAACAGCUUGAGAUAGUGACAAUAUCUAUACACCUGAGUUCUGUGGGAAAAGACACAGCAAAAGUUCACAGAACAUUUUAUUUGGCCGGGGGCUUUGUGAAAUAAGAUACUUAAUAGGACAAUUAUGAUCUAGAAAAAACAACUUGCUGGAAGUCAGGUCCCCUCCCCCUCCCCUUUUCCUAACAUUCCAUGGAUGAUCCCGACGGCAGGACCCAGACCACACCAGGUCCCUUGCCCACACUGAUGGAGGCCGGGACACUCACCGGCCGCUUGUAGAGGGGCACCAGGGGUGACUCCACCACGCUCCCCGUCCACCGGCUGCGUCCGCGGCAUCACAACCCCCACCCUCUUCCGCUCGGGAGCGUCGGAGCAAGCCAAGCCGGCCGGACCCCAUCAGACCUCCCGCCAAGCUCCCCCGAGUUGUGUCACGCAUGCUAAAACCUCUCCAAGGUAGCCGGUCACCAAGAGCUGAGGCCUAAAACAAGAGAGGGCACAUCCAAGUGGUUGCGGAUUGGUUGCUCCUAAGCUGAAAUUCUCGCCUCAAGCGCGGUCUCCUCCAUGGAGCCCUUUCCGGACCCUGGGCCGUGGCACCGUACACCCGGCCCGGCCCGGGAGCUGCACGGGGCGGGCCGGCUCCUUUACAUCCCCAGGACCGAGGUCAGACGAACGCGCUCCCGCCAGCCCGGUGCCGGGGUUCUGGCAGCCCCACACGCAGGACGAGCAGCGCGGGUCGUGGCCUUAACCGACGGGCAGAGAUGAACGAAAACCGGAAGUAACCGAGGCCGGCGGGCAUCUGGCAUCACGGCAGACGCAGCGGGCAGGGCGGCUGGGAUGAGCAGCGCCCGUCACACCCAAGAACACCCCCCAGAUGUGCACGGUGUGGCCGCAGCCGCCCGUCAAAGCCGUGGGUUUUGUGCAGAGAACGUGGAAGGCCCUCCGCUCGCACCCUGAUCUUCCGGGCCGCGGCGGAUUCCCUUCCUCAGCGGUUACUUAUUCAGUGUCUGCUCCACACGACGGUUGUGGGUGGACUCCAGCUAGAAAGACGCACGACGGCCCAUCCGUGAGGCGCUUCUAGCACAGCCGGGAAGAAGUCAGAUACCCGUGGAAGGAGUAGUAGAGGAGAAACGUGCCCCUCUGGCUGUUCAGAAUCACAGUCUCCUUCCACGACUGGAAGAUCCUCUCCACCUGGCGAACAUCCGGCCUCACCCAGACUGCAGCGAGCGGCAAGGGUGUACGGCGAAACCCGGUCACUCAGUAGCCCCGCCUCAGACUCCAAGUUGGAGCCAGGGCCAAGAAGCCGCAAUCAGGCGGCGUUCGCUCCGCCAGCGGGCAGCGGGCAGCGGCCACGCGCAGGCGCAGACGAGGCGCUGGCGGUGUUGCCAGUACCACCUGUGUCCAGGGGGUGGCGCCAGAGGUCUCGCGGAAACACUUCAGGCGGGACUUUGGACGUUGUCCGUGACCAGGCCUUGCCAAGUCCGGUUCUUCAACCCUACCAGCGAUCCGGAGAACCACGCAGUAUCGUUUGAUAAAUCUUAGUUUAGCAAUUAAUAAAUUAAUCAUCUCUGCUUAGA